GACGAACGCUGGCGGCGUGCUUAACACAUGCAAGUCGAACGGAAAGGCCCUGCUUUUGUGGGGUGCUCGAUUGGCGAACGGGUGAGUAACACGUGAGUAACCUGCCCUUGACUUUGGGAUAACUUCAGGAAACUGGGGCUAAUACCGGAUAGGAGCUCCUGCUGCAUGGUGGGGGUUGGAAAGUUUCGGCGGUUGGGGAUGGACUCGCGGCUUAUCAGCUUGUUUGUGGGGUAGUGACUUACCAAGGCUUUGACGGGUAGCCGGCCUGAGAGGGUGACCGGCCACAUGGGGACUGAGAGAGGGCCCAGAAUCCUACGGGAGGCAGAAGGGGGGAAUAUUGCACAAUGGGCGGAAGCCUGAGGCAGAAACGCCGCGUGCGGGAUGACGGCUUACGGGGUGUAAACCGCUGUCGCCUGUGACGAAGCGUGAGUGACGGUAAUGGGUAAAGAAGCACCGGCUAACUACGUG
rnacentral:rRNA from 1 species